rnacentral:rRNA from 1 species
AGUUUGAUCCUGGCUCAGGACGAACGCUGGCGGCGUGCCUAAUACAUGCAAGUCGAGCGGACCGACGGGAGCUUGCUCCCUUAGGUCAGCGGCGGACGGGUGAGUAACACGUGGGUAACCUGCCUGUAAGACUGGGAUAACUCCGGGAAACCGGGGCUAAUACCGGAUGCUUGUUUGAACCGCAUGGUUCAAACAUAAAAGGUGGCUUUUCGCUACCACUUACAGAUGGACCCGCGGCGCAUUAGCUAGUUGGUGGGGUAACGGCUCACCAAGGCRACGAUGCGUAGCCGACCUGAGAGGGUGAUCGGCCACACUGGGACUGAGACACGGCCCAGACUCCUACGGGAGGCAGCAGUAGGGAAUCUUCCGCAAUGGACGAAAGUCUGACGGAGCAACGCCGCGUGAGUGAUGAAGGUUUUCGGAUCGUAAAACUCUGUUGUUAGGGAAGAACAAGUACCGUUCGAACAGGGCGGUACCUUGACGGUACCUAACCAGAAAGCCACGGCUAACUACGUGCCAGCAGCCGCGGUAAUACGUAGGUGGCAAGCGUUGUCCGGAAUUAUUGGGCGUAAAGCGCGCGCAGGCGGUUCUUUAAGUCUGAUGUGAAAGCCCCCGGCUCAACCGGGGAGGGUCAUUGGAAACUGGGGAACUUGAGUGCAGAAGAGGAGAGUGGAAUUCCACGUGUAGCGGUGAAAUGCGUAGAGAUGUGGAGGAACACCAGUGGCGAAGGCGACUCUCUGGUCUGUAACUGACGCUGAGGCGCGAAAGCGUGGGGAGCGAACAGGAUUAGAUACCCUGGUAGUCC